rnacentral:lncRNA from 1 species
AUUUUUACAUACAGUAUGCUUUUAUUAUACAGAUAAUAAAGAUGGGGGAAGGUUUCUGUUUUUUUUCUUAAUAGGUGAAGAAAUCUUGAAGACCAGAAAUUGGAUCUUAUUGAAUUUUGGUGGUGUUUUUACCUUUUUUUUUUUUUCUUUUUUCUUUUUUUCGUCUUUUUAUUUUUAAAUUAUAAUGCUCAGCUAUGGAAGAUGGAUUUUUUUUUUUAAUUCUUUGAAUUUUAAGUUCAUCUUUAAAUGAACUUUUUUUGGCUUUUUUUGAGGAGAUAGCUAAUGCUAGCUGUCUCCAGUCUGACAGAGGUUAUGCAAAUGGACUUAAUCUUCCAGGAGUUGUUUUAAAAACACAUCCUGUGUUUCAAUUGUGGCUGAGAGGUUUCCUUGGCAAUGUGAGGAAGAAAAUUCUUUCUACCUCAUUAUUAUUAAUUCAUGGAUUGAGUGUUGGUUCGACCUACAGGCGUAAUAGCUUGGAACUGAGUGAAGACACAGAUGUUCCUGUUGAGAGCAACCAGCUAAUGAUUUACGUUUUAAAGACGAUUUCUGUGGUUGAGUUGUCAUUGGAAGAAUAAGUCCACUUCAAGAGUACUUGGAGCUGGUCUUCACCUCGAGGAAGCAGUGGCUUAUUCCAGGAAGCCACUUUUGGCCUGAGAAUUUACCCAGUAUGCCUAAUCAGGGAGAAGACUGCUAUUUUUAUUUCUAUUCUACAUGCACCAAAGGUGACAGCUGCCCAUUCCGUCACUGUGAAGCUGCACUAGGAAAUGAAACUGUUUGCACACUAUGGCAGGAAGGUCGUUGUUUUCGACAGGUGUGCAGAUUUCGCCACAUGGAAAUUGACAAAAAACGAAGUGAAAUUCCUUGUUAUUGGGAAAACCAGCCAAUGGGAUGUCAAAAAUUAAAUUGCGCUUUCCAUCACAACAGAAGUCGUUAUGUCGAUGGACUGUUCCUACCUCCAAGCAAAAGUGAGAUUGGUUUUGAUUCUAAAAG